rnacentral:rRNA from 1 species
GACGGGGGGUGCAAGCGUUGUUCGGAUUGACUGGGCGUAAAGGGCGUGUAGGCGGUUGGUCAAGUCGGGUGUGAAAGCCUGAGGCUCAGCCUCAGAAGUGCAUCCGAAACUAGCCAGCUAGAGCGCGAUAGAGGAGGGUGGAAUUCCUGGUGUAGCGGUGAAAUGCGUAGAUAUCAGGAGGAACACCGGCGGCGAAGGCGGCCCUCUGGACCGGAACUGACGCUGAGGCGCGAAAGCGUGGGGAGCAAACAGG